rnacentral:rRNA from 1 species
UGGGAAUUUUGGACAAUGGGCGCAAGCCUGAUCCAGCCAUGCCGCGUGCGGGAAGAAGGCCUUCGGGUUGUAAACCGCUUUUGUCAGGGAAGAAAUCUUCUGAGUUAAUACCUCGGGAGGAUGACGGUACCUGAAGAAUAAGCACCGGCUAACUACGUGCCAGCAGCCGCGGUAAUACGUAGGGUGCAAGCGUUAAUCGGAAUUACUGGGCGUAAAGCGUGCGCAGGCGGUUUUGUAAGACAGAGGUGAAAUCCCCGGGCUCAACCUGGGAACUGCCUUUGUGACUGCAAGGCUUGAGUGCGGCAGAGGGGGGAUGGAAUUCCGCGUGUAGCAGUGAAAUGCGUAGAUAUGCGGAGGAACACCGAUGGCGAAGGCAAUCCCCUGGGCCUGCACUGACGCUCAUGCACGAAAGCGUGGGGAGCAAACAGGAUUAGAUAGCCCUGGUAGUCCACGCCCUAAACGAUGUCAACUGGUUGUUGGGAAGGUUCCUUCUCAGUAACGUAGCUAACGCGUG